rnacentral:rRNA from 1 species
CCCAGACUCCUACGGGAGGCAGCAGUGAGGAAUAUUGGUCAAUGGCCGGGAGGCUGAACCAGCCAAGUCGCGUGAGGGAAGACGGCCCUACGGGUUGUAAACCUCUUUUGUCAGGGAGCAAGGUGCAGGUCGGGACCUGCUGUGAGAGUACCUGAAGAAAAAGCAUCGGCUAACUACGUGCCAGCAGCCGCGGUAAUACGUAGGGGGCAAGCGUUAUCCGGAUUUACUGGGUGUAAAGGGAGCGUAGACGGCAGUGCAAGUCUGGAGUGAAAGGCGGGGGCUCAACCCCCGGGACUGCCCUUGGAACUGCAUGGCUGGAGUGCGGGAGGGGCAGGCGGAAUUCCUGGUGUAGCGGUGAAAUGCGUAGAUAUCAGGAGGAACACCGGCGGCGAAGGCGGCCUGCUGGACCGCGACUGACGUUGAGGCUCGAAAGCGUGGGGAGCGAACAGGAUUAGAUACCCUUGUA